AUAUAUAUUUAUGAAAUGCAUCAAGUAGGAUAUAGUUCAGUCAUUAAAUUUUAUUGUUUUAACAGUUGCAUUCCUAUUUUAAUAAAUAAACACAUGAUGAUCUUAACGAUGUUAUUUACUCCUAUAUUAUAAUGCUUGAGUAAAUUAAAGUCACUGACUCUCAUGAUGGAUAAUGAUUGUAUGCUCUAUUAAAAAAACAUUUAUUAAACUGUUAUUAAACAACUCGCAUAGACUUGAUUCGCGAUCAUGGCAUAUCUUACGAUUGUAAAAAGCAAUUAUCUAAUACGAGAUGAACAAACUUUAUGCUUUUCUCUUUUUUUUUUUUUUUUUUUUUUUUUCAUAUUUUUUCAUAUAUUUAUUUAUUACUAAUAGAAGAAGGAAAGCGUAAAAACGUUGGAAAAUAAACGGAGAUAUAAACUCAUAAAGCGAUCAAGAUAAUAUUUUAUAUGAGUUACGUGAAGCGUAAUAUCAAAUGUUUAAUAUUAAAAGCCAACGGUCAUAUCAUUUGUGUUAGUUGAAACAUAGCAUUAGAUAUGUAAGCUUAUUUAUUGUACCGCGAACGAUUUUACAUAAUGUAUUUUACUACGUAGAUAUGUGUAGAUGUAUGAAAAUAUAUAAUAUAACGUAUUCACAGUUUUACUUUAGUCGCUAAAUAUACAUUUCACGUAUAUAAAGUCAAUUCUAUAAAUUAGAGUACAUCGUUUUCUAUUAGUUGGAAUAACAUAGACGAGUUUUAGAUCAAGUGAGGAUUUUUUAACGAAUAUUAAAUUUUAUCAUUUUUUACUAGUCACACAACGAAAGAACGAAUAAACUUUUUAUAUACGUUUAUAUAAUUUUUUUUUCUUUUUUUUUUUUUUCUGAAAUACUUUUUUAUCACGCCAUUAUCGAAACUAAACAAUGAUUGAGUUAAGAAAGGGUAUCUCAUUUUGUUAUAAUACGUGAAGGAAAUUAAUUUGUGCCAACUUCAAUGUGAUUUGUAAUAUUUUCGGUUGAAAUGAGAAUUCAUAUGAAAUCCGACGUUCGGUCGAUGUGACAAAUGUCAAACGUUUAUGGAUAUUUAUAUCUUCUCUGGAAGAUCAGCAUUGAUUCAAGAAUUAAUCCACGAUCUCUUGAAAUUAUCAUCAUUGAAGAUACACGACGGUAUGAAGAUAAUAUUUUUUUUUUUCUUUUGGAAUUGUUUUUAUCGUUUUCUACAUAUUUUUAUUUAAUGUCAUUUGAUUCAUUGAAGUAUUCCUGCGUUUUUAUUAAAAACGAUUUAUAAUAUAUCUACGUCCGUGAAUUUAAUAUAAUUACUUUUCAACACGUCAAGAUCAUGGAUGCCAAAGUACAAGGAUUUUGACAUUGAGAUCAAGAGUAGCUAAAUGUUUGGUAUUGGAAAAUAGCCAAUCGAGUAGAAAUUAUGAGCUCACAUUCUCCUCCAACUAUGAGAUUUAUUUUAUUCAAGGUUAUCUCAAUGACAAGAAAAAAAAAUGUAUAUAUAUAUAAUACAAUGCCAAAGAAAUGCUUAAUUUUAUUUGAUUAUUUUAUAUUGUUACAUUUAUCAUGAACUUUUUUAAGCUAUCUAUAUUUUAAACUAUUCAUACAUAUUCUAAUUAUUCUUGCUGUAUUUCGAAUUAUAUAAUACAAUGGGACAAUAUUUAAAUCUAUUUUUAUUUAAAUGUUAUUUUUUAAAUUAUUCCGGGAAACAUACAAACUACGAUUUUCAUUGUCGUUACGGAAGAAAGAUAUUGUCAUAAAGAAGAAAAUAAAAAAUGACAGGAAUAAAAAUGUUAUGUGUAAGAAAAGAAAUUCAAGUGUUUCAUCAGAAGAAUUUCUUUUUUAUUUUCUUUCUUCAAGUGAUAAUUAAAUACACGUGUAAAUAAUCUGUUGAUAAUUUUAUUUUUAAUUUAAUAUCUCGUUGCUCAAAAUUUCCGUUCGAUAAUAAUAAUGACAAUUUACCUGAAAGUUUAUCGAAUAACAAUUUUUGUAUAUUUGCUAAAUGCUCAAUCAAAAUUUGUUUUUUCUUCUUUUAUAUUUUUGAAUUUUAAUCACGAAUUCGAAACUUUAAUUUUUGAUGUGCUAAAAUCAUCACAUGGUUUUGCAUAUCAAAUAAAACGUCAAAAUAUAAGUACUCUUGAUAAUAUUAAAUAAUAUUUCAUAUGUAACGUUACGAUUAGAUAAUUUGCCUUGGAAUAAUGUAAUACAUGGUCGUAAUAGUUUUUUUUAAUAAAAUAUAUAGAAUUAAUAAUAUCGAUUAUACAAAUUUUUGUUUCUUGAGAGAACAUAAGUACUUAUUUUAAUGCAUUUUCAUAAAGAGAUAUUUUAAAUAAAUUUAAAUAAAUAAUGCAAUACGUCAAUCGUUUUAUGUUAACCAUUUUAAUGUAAUGCAAUUUGUUGAUAGUAUGAUGGUAAAUUUGCAAAAAAGAAAAAUAACUGAACGUCAUUAAGUAUUUCUUAUCUGAAUUAACAUACAAGAAGGUAUUUAAAAGAGUAUAAAGGAGAUAGUUGAGUAAUUCAUUAAGACACAUGGUUGACUGUUGAAUAUCAACUGAUAAUAAAAGUGAACCAAUCAUUAUAUAUCACUUCUGUUUCUUAAAACAAAAAAAAAUUAUCGCAAGAGUGACUCAAGUUAUUUCUGAAAUCAAUUGCCUCCAAAUAUAUUAUUUAAUAUCGUUAGAACGCUCUCUGACAGUAAAAAUAAUAAUAUUAUCAUUAAUACCUAAUAUUAUCAUUAUUACCUUAUAAAUUAUAUUACGUUGAAUUAACACGGCUAAUUCGUACAAUUAAAUAUAUAGUAAAAUAUAUUAGUAAAUAUAUUAGUAAAAAAUAUAAUAUUUCUUCCCUCCUAGUGACGAAAUAUAAAUUAAUGAAGGAAGUUAUUAAUAUCCAAUUGAAUGUUUCAUCGAUCUAUCAUAUAACAAUAAUUAGAUAUAUUAGUAUGUAUUCAUCGUAUAUCAUCUUUGAUUUUGCAAUGCAAACAAUAAUACAGGAUUAUUGUUAAAAAAAAUAAAAUCUAAUUUUUCGUGACAUAAUUUUUAAUUUUAUAUGGGAAAAUUGAUGGAUAAAUUUUUCAACAAAAUUGAUCAAUUUCAUAGAGCAAAAAAUUUUUUUUUACUUUUCAAAUCCUCGGUACGAGUUUCAAUAAAAUAAAAUACGUGCAACAAUUUCAAAUGACGUUGAUUUAGUUUUGUCUGAAUUAAUUGAUAAUAAUUCAUUAAUUUUUGUUGUAUAUAUUUUCAAUGUGAAUUCAUUUCAAUCGAUGAAGAAUAUCGAAAUUUAUUCCAUGAAUGAUUUAGUUUGCACUUGUAGUAUUCCAGUACAUAAUUAUGAUUAAUUCCAAGUGUAAACUGCUUCGUGUCAAAAAGUUCAUAAUGCCAAAGGUGUCUUAACAACAGACAUGGACACUCUACAAGGAAAAACUUCCGUGAAGGGCUUCCGAGCAUUUGAAUAACGAUUGCCUUGGGCAGUGUUGCAUUCUUUCAUCAUACGAUGACAUUUGCAUUUUCACGAAACUCAAUGUUUCGAGAUUUCGUCGAGUAACGUUUCCUUAAAAAAAAAAAAAAAAAAAAGAAAAAAAAAAGAAAAAGAGAAAUAAUAACAAUUUAUGAUAAAUACGUAUUACUGCUAUCAGUUAUUGGUAUAGUAUGAAAAUGAGGAAUGAUAAAUAGUAGAAGUUCAAGAGGAAAAGAAACAUGCAAAGACAACAAAGAGUCAUAUAUUAAAAUGGCACAUAUAUUAUCAAAUAAAAUUUUGUUUACGUAAAAAUAUUAAGGUUUUUUCUUUCUUUUUUUCUUUUUUUUUUUUAUUAGAAAAUUUUUAAGCACGAACUUUAAAAUCAAUUUAAUAAAAUAUCAAUGAAAUAUAUAAGAGAUCGACGAAGUUCGUAUAUGUGAAAGGGGAAAAAGAAACAAAAAAUUUAUCAAAAUAUCUAUCAAAAAAGAAAAAAGAAAGAAAAGAAACAAGAAAAGAAAAAGAAGUAAAUUAUUAAAUUGCAUUUCUUAUGACGAGCACGAAGAAAAACGAUUGAGAAAACAUUUGACCUUGUGUAAAUGCAUCGAUGUUCAUAGCUCACAUGCACAUCAAAUUUGCGUACAAGUAAAGCAACUUCACAAACGCAAAACACAAUGACGCACGCCUACUCGUCGAUGAUAGCUGGCAAACUUGUUUGUAAUCUUGCGUCGUCACAGCAAAACGUAAAUGAAGUGCUGUAAGUCUUUCAAUCGAAUAAUAUUCGAACAAAUAAUAUUCGAAGCGAUUUCACGUAUUAUGAUACGAACACUUUUCAUUAAAGCGUAUAUCGUCUAAUUAAUUGUUGAUAAAAUGAUACAUUGAUCAAAAGUUAAUUUAAUAAUUAUUAUAACUUCAUGAUUAGAUAUAAAUCUAAUAUUAAUUUUCAUAAUUAAAUUUGUAAACAAUAUCGAUAUAUAUCGUUCAAAAAAUAAUUAAUAAUAUAUUAUUCAACCGAUUAUGAAGAACGUUGUAAUUUAAACGAUUCUAAAAUUAAAAUAUCACCGUUACCGCGUCCUUUCGUACUCUUUAUUUUUGCAUAACGGCAUAAUUGGAAAGUAGUUUGUCCAGUGUAUUUAAUCCGGUCAAGAUUCAAUACUCGAUAAGUAUAAAUUUCAUUGCGAUAAAAGUCGAUGAAAAUAGAAAGUCAAUUUAAGUGUUAAGUAAAUUUUAAAGAAAUUUAUUUAUUAAAAGCAGAAUAAUAAUGACCGAUGUUCUUCCUCAAGGCUAAUAGCCUCUAAACGUUAACAUGCGUGCUACCAUCCACGCGAGACUCACGAAAGGAAGAUGAAAAGCGACAAAGUAUUCGGAUCUAGCAUCUGCUAAUAAAUUAGGCAAAAAUAUAUGUUACUGAAUGACUGAAACUGCAUUGGCCGAUGGUAGAGAGGUAAAUAAUGAAAGAGUUUAUGAACAAUUUGUGGGAACAAAUAAUGAUCUUAAUGAUGAGAACGGAUAACAUGUUGCAUGAGAUCUAGGAAUCUAUCGAUGCAGCUGAACCACGAAACCGUGGCCCUCAGGCGAUUCCAUAUGGAUAAUUUAGUCAAAUUACUUAGUAUCUAAAAUGAACCUGUACCCUUUCUUGAAAGCAAAGUAUUCAUUUUUUCUUUUCGUUGUAAUUCCCACGUAAUUUUUUCGUCUUUCCUACGUUAUUUUUAUCCUUAGAACGAAACUUUUUAUAUGCUCGUAUAUAGCCGAGAAGAAAAAUUUUUCAAACGUUGCCAUUAAACCGGUUUGUUAAUUUCUUGAUAUUUGAAAAAAAUCACGAUUAAAAGCAAUCGCUUGAAAACUUUGAAAGAUAAUAUUGAAUUGAAUAAAGAUAAUUCUUGCAAGUGAUUUUAUAAGUAACUUGUUUAAAAUGUCAAUUCUGCUCCGUUAACCGAGGAAGAGAAGGAGGGGGGGGGGGAAGGAAUAAUGAAUAAAUUAAACAAAACUUAAAUUAUCAUUAGAUUCGAAUAUACUUGUGUGAAAUGUAAAUCAACGUCAAAAUCUUUAGUGUUAUUUAUAAUCUGUUUUAAUAAAAUAUUAAGAUAAACGCAUCUUAAGGAGAUCCGUUGGUGCAUUCACUUUAGGUUAAUGAACUUUUGCUUUGCUCAAGGCGAAUAAACGAUUUUAAUACCACACCUUGAAUCAUCCGAUAUACUACAUAUAUCCCUCGUCAAUUUUUCUUUAUAUUAUUUUUCAAUUUCAUAUUAACUUUUUUUUCAAUGUUUCAAUUUUCUCUUUUUCUUUUUUUUUUCUUUUUUUUUUUUUGUAUCUUUCAGUAUCUGCGAAUCUUCAAAUGUAUUCUUUUUUUUUUUUUAUUCGUUAUCCUUCAAUGAGUUCGCUAAAUAAAGCCACGUAAAACUUUUAAUUGCUAUUCAUAUACACGCCUAUUUGUCACGAAGAUCACGCGAUAAGUUUGUCGACGUUUGUGUCGAGGUAUAACUUUGUCGCGGAACAUGAAAUUCACACGAAUAUGUUGAAAAUAAAAAUCGUUCGUAGUAUUAUAUGUAUUUUCCCGUCCUUCUCGUCUUUAAUAUCGUGAUGCAUCGUAUACGCUUAAUGUUCAGCAGCGUCCUAAUUGGCAUUGGUAAUAACACCUUGGAAGAGUGCACGCACAGUCACGGCAAGUACGAGCCUACAUUGCCCGGUAAAUGCGAAGUAAAGAAAUGAGGAAAAAAUAACUUAUAUUAAUAAUAAGAGAGGAAAAUAAAGAGGGAGGGAGAGAGAGAAUGCAGUUCUUAAUCUCUUUUUCUUUUUUUUUUUUUUUUUUUUUUCUUGCGUCCACACAACAGGAGACGUGUGAUCAUCGUUAAAUGCAAAUUAAUUUGAAGGUAUUUAAUAAUAUCCAACAAGAUACGCACUUUGAGAGGUACAAUCGGAUAUGUUCUGAAGCCUUUCAAGCCAAAGUAGUAAUUUGCAAUUGAGAAGUGACUAUUAGUGGUUCCAUAUUUGAUGUAAAUAUGCAUGUAAUAUAAAAAAAAAGGGAAGUUAGAAAACGG